CUUUACUGUAGCUUUGCAUUGGACUUUGACGGGACUUGUGUAGGAUAGGUGGGAGGCUGUGAAGCAGGGACGCCAGUUCUUGUGGAGCCACCCUUGAAAUACCACCCUGGUGUCGUUGAGGUUCUAACCUGGACCCCUUAUCGGGGUCGGGGACCGUGCAUGGUAGGCAGUUUGACUGGGGCGGUCUCCUCCCAAAAGGUAACGGAGGAGCACGAAGGUUGGCUAGACACGGUCGGAAAUCGUGUUGAUAGUGCAAGGGCAUAAGCCAGCUUAACUGCGAGACCCACAAGUCGAGCAGAUGCGAAAGCAGGUCCUAGUGAUCCGGUGGUUCUGUAUGGAAGGGCCAUCGCUCAACGGAUAAAAGGUA
rnacentral:rRNA from 1 species